rnacentral:rRNA from 1 species
UACCAGCACCCCGAGUGGUCGGGACGUUUAUUGGGCCUAAAGCAUCCGUAGCCGGUUCUACAAGUCUUCCGUUAAAUCCACCUGCUUAACAGAUGGGCUGCGGAAGAUACUAUGGAGCUAGGAGGCGGGAGAGGCAAGCGGUACUCGAUGGGUAGGGGUAAAAUCCGUUGAUCCAUUGAAGACCACCAGUGGCGAAGGCGGCUUGCCAGAACGCGCUCGACGGUGAGGGAUGAAAGCUGAGGGAGCAAACCGG